GACCCCUGGCUAUUUGGGGUCCCACAAGCUGGAAGACAGUGUUGGAAGAAGGGGCUCCACAAGACAGUCUCGGCUUCUGUGAAGCCAACCUCUUCCCUCCUUGUCCUCCCCUGACUCCAGAACUUGGGCCCAGACAGCCAAAGCCCAGGGGACAACGAGUGACUCAGACGCUUCCUGUUUUCUUGGCCACAGUGACAGAAGGAUGGAAACAGCCCUGAGCUGGGGUUCAUGGCUGAAGAGAGGGGGCCUGGAGAGAUGAGGAGCCUGGAGCUGUGGGGCCAGCCUGCCCUGAGAUGCGGGAGGAGUGAGCUGGGCAGAGCCACAUGGGGUGGUCUCCUGGCCUCGCUGGGUGGAAAUGAGGGUGGUUUGUUGGGUGGCCAGGUCCACAAAGCAGGGAGGACUUGGGGCCAGCGUUUCUUGAAAGGAGCCUUCAUAGAGAAAUGAAGACCCGAAGAAACAGGCCUGAGGAUUUCAAUGCUGGGUUUGCCGUGUGGGAACACCAGAGGGCAGGAAGACGAGGUGCCAUAUUUCAGGCCUAGUGAGUCCUGAAGCCCAUCUGGACCAGUGGCAGCCAUCUUAGAAGCCGCCUACCAUACAGCACAUGUGAAAUGUUGACGAUCUUAAGUGAAACCAAGACAACAGGAUGCAAAACUGCAUACACAGGAGGAUGACAUCUGAGUAAGAACACAACAGGGAAAAAGAUGGGAAGAAAUUUGUUACAAACACAUACGCACACCUAAACACCAAAUGUGGUCUGCAUGAUAAAGCACCUUUUUAAAUUAGGUCUUUUGCUUUUCCACACAUGCAUCCCCCCCACCCCAAUUAUUUAUUCUCAAAUGUUAAGUAACUAAUUUUCUGGCCCUGGGGGCCAAGGGGCUGGGUAGGAACAAGUCCAGGCCCCACCAUCUGUCCUUGAGGCUGUCUGAGCAAGAAGCAGCUAUAAAUUCUCACACUGGGACAGCCUCAGGGAUCUAUUCCAGGCAGCACUAACCACCUCUGAUCUUGCUGCUAUUCCUGGGUCUAUUGGAGCCUGAGGCGUUGGGUUUGGGGGUGACCCUGAGGGCAGCAUUAUUUGGGGAAGAGUUGGCAUAGAGGAAGCGGCAAGGAGUGGAGAGAGAGAGAGGAAGUGACCCAGAGAGGCAGAGAAAGCAGUGGACAGGGUGGAAAAACACCUGAAAGUUGGAGUCUCAGACCCUGAAGUGCCUGUCACCUGAGUGUGACUCUUUCAGGCCUCAGUUUCCUCAUCCGUAGAAUGCGGUGAAGUUAAGUCAUAUUGCCCUUCCUCGUUCAACAGGGUUGAGUGAGUUGAUUAUGCACAGAAAUACCCUCUGUAAACGGUAAAGCUCUGGACCAGUGAUGGUUUCCUCAGGGAUUAACUAGAGCAAAUAUGCCUCCGUCUAGCCACUGAGCUCCCAGCAGGAGUCCAGCCCCUCCCCAACCACGGGCAGCAGGCCUUGGUGGCUCCCACAUACUGAGCCACAGGUCCACUCUCAUCUCUUACUAGUUACGUUGGUUAAAUGUUGACGUUGAAUACGCUUCAGUUGAAAAGAAUGAGGUGACCUCUAAUGAAGGCUCAUUUGGCAACAGCUAUCAAAAUCACAAGUGACUCAGCAAUUCCACUUUGAGGAAUAAAUACACACACAGGUAUGAAAUUACGUGUCCAGGCACAUUCAUUGUAGCAUUCUUUGUGAGAGCAAUGCAUUGUAAAGAAAAAAAUGUCCCUCCGCAGGGGACCGGUAGAUCAAUAUGGAACAUCAUACAAUGGAAUGCUGUGAAGGCAUUAAAAUGAAUGAGGCAGCGCUGGGUGCACUGAUCCAGAAAGAUCUCCAACAUGUAUUAUCAAAUGAAAAAAAGCAAGUUGCGAAACAAUAUUACCUAUCUAUCGCCACUAACGUAGAAAAUCAAAC
ensembl:lncRNA